CUCCAGAUCUUGGCCCGGUGCUCAGCUGCACACAAGUACAGUCUCCAAAAAGAAAGCCAGCACUCAAGGACUUCAACAUGAAAAAAUAGGCAUUUAAUCCAAGUGGUCAACGUUUCAGUUCACAACUGUGAACUUUCCCAGAAUUAUGAUUGUUAUGAUAGUGGUAGGUUAAAUUAUUAUUUUUUUUUAUGCUCAUCAUCAGGGCCGUCUUUAGCGCGGGGCAAACGGGGCAGCUGCCCCGGGCCCAGUUGCUCCUGGGGGGCCCCAGAGCAGCUGCCCCGCAGGCCCCGCGAUUUGCGCAGCCCACCUUGGAUCCGGCGGUGCCGCUCUGUCCCACACGCUAAAGAGGGCCCCCGGGUGGCCCAUGCACUAAAGGCCACCCGGUGGGCAUUUGUCAGCUGGGGCCCGGUCGGGCGCUGUGACGCUUAAACAGCGCGACCGGGCCCCUUCCUGUUUGGCAGCCGGCUGGGAGGAAGUGAAUGUCGCACGUCACUUCCUCCUACCGUAGAUCAGAGCUGCGCGGGAGGAGGGGAGUUUCAGAGGAGAACUCCCAACUGCCUCAGCCUGCCACUGGACCCCAGGGAAACCACUCUCCAGAAAAGGUAAGGAUGGUUGGAGGGUGGCUAAAUGUAUGUCAGUAUGUCUGUGUGUGUGUCAGACAGUAUGUCUGUCUGUGUGUAUGUCAGUAUGUCUGUGUGUGUCAGUAUGUCUGUGAGUGUGUGUGUCAGUAUGUCUGUCUGUGUGUUAUGUCAGUAUGUCUGUGUGUGUCAGUAUGUCUGUGUGUGUCAGUAUGUCUAUCUGUGUGUUAUGUCAGUAUGCCUGUGUGUGUCAGCAUGUCUGUGUGUGUGUCAAUAGUUUGUCAGUGUAUGUGUGUCUGUGUGUGUGUCUGUCUGUCUGUGUGUGUCAAUAUGUAUGUGUAUGUGUCAGUAUGUCUGUCUGUGUGUCCGUGUGUGUUAGUAUGUAUCUGUGAAUGUUUUAAUAUGUAUGUCUGUGUGUGUAUGUGUCAGUAUGUCAGUGUGAUUGGG